GAGUUUGAUCAUGGCUCAGAUUGAACGCUGGCGGCAGGCUUAACACAUGCAAGUCGAACGAUGAUUACUAGCUUGCUAGUAUGAUUAGUGGCGAACGGGUGAGUAAUGCUUAGGAAUCUGCCUAUUAGUGGGGGACAACGUUCCGAAAGGGACGCUAAUACCGCAUACGUCCUACGGGAGAAAGCAGGGGAUCGCAAGACCUUGCGCUAAUAGAUGAGCCUAAGUCGGAUUAGCUAGUUGGUGGGGUAAAGGCCUACCAAGGCGACGAUCUGUAGCUGGUUUGAGAGGAUGAUCAGCCACACUGGGACUGAGACACGGCCCAGACUCCUACGGGAGGCAGCAGUGGGGAAUAUUGGACAAUGGGCGAAAGCCUGAUCCAGCCAUGCCGCGUGUGUGAAGAAGGCCUUUUGGUUGUAAAGCACUUUAAGUGGGGAGGAAAAGCUAAUGGUUAAUACCCAUUAGCCC
rnacentral:rRNA from 1 species